rnacentral:rRNA from 1 species
AUGCUUGCUCAAGGUAUCAUCGCGCCCAGCUCCAACCCCUUUGCUUCACCAGUGCUGCUAGUUCAGAAGGACUUGUCGUGGCGCUUCUGCGUGGACUACCAACAACACAAUGUGGUGACAGUUAAGAACCGCUACCCUCUGCCUGUCAUUGAUGAGCUACUGGACGAGCUGGCUGGUUCCACGCUGUUCACCAGUCUGGAUCUCCGGGUCGGAUACCAUCAGAUUCGUAUGAAGCCCGAAGAUGAACACAAGACUACUUUCAAGACCCACCAUGGCCACUUCGAGUUCAAGGUCUUGGCAUACGGCCUCAGGGGGGGCCGGCGACUUUCCAAGGAGGAAUGA